UACGGAGGGGGCUAGCGUUGUCCGAAGUACUGGGCGUAAAGCGCGCGUAGGCGGGUUGGUAAGUCCGCUGUGAAAGCCCGGAGCUCAACUCCGGAGGGUCGGUGGAUACUGCCAGUCUUGAAGGUGCUAGGGGGAGAUGGAAUUACCGGUGUAGCGGUGAAAUGCGUAGAUAUCGGUAGGAACACCAGUGGCGAAGGCGGUCUCCUGGGGCAUUCUUGACGCUGAGGCGCGAAAGCUGGGGGAGC
rnacentral:rRNA from 1 species